UACGUAGGGUGCGAGCGUUAAUCGGAAUUACUGGGCGUAAAGCGUGCGCAGGCGGUUCGUUGUGUCGGUGGUGAAAGCCCCGGGCUUAACCUGGGAAUGGCCAUGGAAACUGGCGAACUGGAGUGUGGCAGAGGGGGUGGAAUUCCGCGUGUAGCAGUGAAAUGCGUAGAGAUGCGGAGGAACACCGAUGGCGAACGGCAGCCCCCUGGGCUAGCACUGACGCUCAGGCACGAAAGCGUGGGGAGCAAACAGG
rnacentral:rRNA from 1 species